AAGGGUAUAGCUCAGUGGUAGAGCAUGUGUCUAGCAUAUAUGAGGUCCUGGUUCAUUCCCCAGUACCUCCA
rnacentral:tRNA from 1 species